CUAGAGAGGAGACACAUCCAACAGUCCUACAAGGAGUCCAAGGCAUCUGCAUGGAGUCCAGUACAUUGUGGACUCACCCUGUUGUCAAGUCAUCAGGAAGUUGGAUGAUGCUGUCUUCUUCUAGCUAAAUUAUGCAACUACUAAGAAGGGGAUCAGAAUUCUAUUUUGUAGCAGUUAUUUUACAAAUAAAUGUUAGUAAAAUUUUU
rnacentral:misc_RNA from 1 species